rnacentral:rRNA from 1 species
AUGAACGCUGGCGGCGUGCUUAACACAUGCAAGUCGAACGAUGAAGCCCAGCUUGCUGGGUGGAUUAGUGGCGAACGGGUGAGUAACACGUGAGUAACCUGCCCUUAACUCUGGGAUAAGCCUGGGAAACUGGGUCUAAUACCGGAUAGGAGCGUCCACCGCAUGGUGGGUGUUGGAAAGAUUUAUCGGUUUUGGAUGGACUCGCGGCCUAUCAGCUUGUUGGUGAGGUAAUGGCUCACCAAGGCGACGACGGGGAGCCGGCCUGAGAGGGGGACCGGCCCCCCUGGGGCUGGGACCCGCCCCAGCCCCCCCCGGGGGGGAGGGGGGGGGAUUUUUGCAAAAGGGGCGCAAGCCUUAUGCCGCGACCCCGCGUGGGGGAUGGCGCCCUUCGGUUUGUAAACCUCUUUCAGUAGGGAAGAAGCGAAAGUGACGGUACCUGCAGAAGAAGCCCCGGCUAACUCCGU